rnacentral:rRNA from 1 species
AUUGAACGCUGGCGGAAUGCUUUACACAUGCAAGUCGAACGGUAGAGGGGGCAACCCCUCGAGAGUGGCGAACGGGUGAGUAAUAUAUCGGAACGUGCCCAGUCGUGGGGGAUACGUAGCGAAAGUUACGCUAAUACCGCAUACGAUCUACGGAUGAAAGCGGGGGACCGUAAGGCCUCGCGCGAUUAGAGCGGCCGAUAUCCGAUUAGCUUGUUGGUGGGGUAAAAGCCCACCAAGGCGACGAUCAGUAGCUGGUCUGAGAGGACGAUCAGCCACACUGGGACUGAGACACGGCCCAGACUCCUACGGGAGGCAGCAGUGGGGAAUAUUGGUCAAUGGGCGCAAGCCUGAACCAGCCAUGCCGCGUGAAGGAUGAAGGUUCUAUGGAUUGUAAACUUCUUUUAUUUGGGAAUAAACCUCUUUACGUGUAGAGAGCUGAAGGUACCAAAUGAAUAAGCACCGGCUAACUCCGUG